AGUAGAAGCUUUGAUACCCAAUUUUGCUUGCAUACGUAUUUUGUCACGAGAAGCUCUCUUACCCCCAUAUGAUACAUACUCAUCAUGAUCAGAAUCAUAAAAAGCUGUAGUAUUGUCCAUAUUCGUUUCCACUCGGCCCCAUAGUUUUUGUAAGCAGUUUUUACCCAGCGGAUAAAAAAACCUCGUUUUCUUAGUAUUUUUAUUAUACAUUCGAAGCACGACAAUGGCCCUUCCAUAGGGGCCUUUUUUCCAACCUUUUCUAGGAGGAUCCUUCCGAACAUCAGAAUCCGUGACCACCUGCAU